rnacentral:rRNA from 1 species
GACGUAGGAGGCGAGCGUUAUCCGGAUUCACUGGGCGUAAAGCGCAUGUAGGCGGAUGUCUAAGUCGUGUGUUAAAGCCCCUGGCUCAACUGGGGGAGGUCAUGCGAGACUGGAUGACUUGAGGGCAACAGAGGCACGUGGAACUCCCGGUGUAGCGGUGGAAUGCGUAGAGAUCGGGAAGAACACCCGUGGCAAAGGCGGCGUGCUGGGUUGCAACUGACGCUGAGAUGCGAAAGUGUGGGGAGCAAACGGG